rnacentral:rRNA from 1 species
AUUGAACGCUGGCGGCAGGCCUAACACAUGCAAGUCGGACGGUAGCACAGAGGAGCUUGCUCCUUGGGUGACGAGUGGCGGACGGGUGAGUAAUGUCUGGGGAUCUGCCCGAUAGAGGGGGAUAGCCACUGGAAACGGUGGCUGAUACCGCAUAACGUCGCAAGACCAAAGAGGGGGACCUUCGGGCCUCUCACUAUCGGAUGAACCCAGAUGGGAUUAGCUAGUAGGCGGGGUAAUGGCCCACCUAGGCGACGAUCCCUAGCUGGUCUGAGAGGAUGACCAGCCACACUGGAACUGAGACACGGUCCGGACUCCUACGGGAGGCAGCAGUGGGGAAUAUUGCACAAUGGGCGCAAGCCUGAUGCAGCCAUGCCGCGUGUAUGAAGAAGGCCUUCGGGUUGUAAAGUACUUUCAGCGGGGAGGAAGGCGGUGAGGUUAAUAACCUCACCGAUUGACGUUACCCGCAGAAGAAGCACCGGCUAACUCCGUGCCAGCCGCCGCAGUAA